rnacentral:rRNA from 1 species
AUACGGAGGGUGCAAGCGUUAAUCGGAAUUACUGGGCGUAAAGCGCGCGUAGGCGGCUUGGUCAGUGAGGUGUGAAAGCCCCGGGCUUAACCUGGGAAUUGCAUCUCAUACUGCCAGGCUGGAGUAUGGGAGAGGAUAGUGGAAUUCCAGGUGUAGCGGUGAAAUGCGUAGAGAUCUGGAGGAACAUCAGUGGCGAAGGCGACUGUCUGGCCCAAUACUGACGCUGAGGUGCGAAAGCGCGGGGAGCAAACAGGAUUAGAUACCCUGGUAGUCCACGCCGUAAACGAUGUCUACUAGCCGUUGGGGAACUUGAUUCUUUAGUGGCGCAGCUAACGCGAUAAGUAGACCGCCUGGGGAGUACGGCCGCAAGGUAAAA